rnacentral:rRNA from 1 species
UGGUGGAGCGAUUUGUCUGGUUAAUUCCGAUAACGAACGAGACUCUAGCCUAUUAAAUAGUUAACCCAUUCGUACUGGUGGGUGUCAACUUCUUAGAGGGACAAGUGGCUUUCAGUCACACGAGAUUGAGCAAUAACA